rnacentral:rRNA from 2 species
CGUGCGCGUGCUUACCAUGCAAGUCGCACGAGAACGCUUCAGCUUGCUGGAGCUAGUAAAGUGGCGCACGGGUGAGUAACGCGUGGGUAAUCUACCUCCGAAUUGGGGAUAACGUUGCGAAAGCGACGCUAAUACCGGAUAAUAUCUUCUUGACUUCGGUCUUGGGGAUCAAAGGUGGCCUCUACAUGUAAGCUACUGUUUGGAGAUGAGCCCGCGUCCCAUUAGCUUGUUGGCGGGGUAACGGCCCACCAAGGCUUCGAUGGGUAGCUGGUCUGAGAGGAUGAUCAGCCACACUGGAACUGGAACACGGUCCAGACUCCUACGGGAGGCAGCAGUGAGGAAUUUUGCGCAAUGGGGGAAACCCUGACGCAGCAACGCCGCGUGAGUGAUGAAGGCUUUCGGGUCGUAAAGCUCUGUCAAGUGGGAAGAACCGCCGAGGGGUUAACAUCCUCUUGGUCUGACGGUACCACUGAAGGAAGCACCGGCUAACUCCGUGCCAGCAGCCGCGGUAAUACGGGGGGUGCAAGCGUUAUUCGGAUUUACUGGGCGUAAAGCGCGCGUAGGCGGCCGUUUAAGUCAGAUGUGAAAGCCCGGGGCUCGACCCCGGAAGUGCAUUUGAUACUAUUCGGCUUGAGUAUGGGAGAGGGAAGUGGAAUUCCUGGUGUAGAGGUGAAAUUCGUAGAUAUCACGAGGAACACCGGUGGCGAACGCGACUUCCUGGACCAAUACUGACGCUGAGGCGCGAACGCGUGGGGAGCAAACAGGAUUAGAUACCCUGGUAGUCCACGCAGUAACGGUGAUCACUAAGUGUUAGCGGGGU